AGCGAACGCUGGCGGCAUGCCUAACACAUGCAAGUCGCGCGGUCAGCAAUGGCAGCGGCGGACGGGUGCGUAACGCGUAGGAACGUGUCUUGAGGUGGGGGACAACCCUGGGAAACUGGGGCUAAUACCGCAUAUGGGCUGAGGCCCAAAGCCGUGAGGCGCCUUUGGAGCGGCCUGCGUCCGAUUAGCUUGUUGGUGGGGUAAUGGCCUACCAAGGCUCCGAUCGGUAGCUGGUCUGAGAGGACGAUCAGCCACACUGGGACUGAGACACGGCCCAGACUCCUACGGGAGGCAGCAGUGGGGAAUAUUGGACAAUGGGCGCAAGCCUGAUCCAGCAAUGCCGCGUGGGUGAAGAAGGUCUUCGGAUCGUAAAGCCCUUUCGACAGGGACGAUGAUGACGGUACCUGUAGAAGAAGCCCCGGCUAACUUCGUGCCAGCCGCCGCAGUAA
rnacentral:rRNA from 1 species